GUCGUAACAAGGUUUCCGUAGGUGAACCUGCGGAAGGAUCAUUAAAGAAUUUGCCCCGUCCUCUCGAGGAUGGGUCCUCUUCUAAACCGUGUAUACAUACCUUUGUUGCUUUGGCGGGCCGCCGUCUCGGCGUUGGCUUCGGCUGACUGUGCCCGCCAGAGGACCCCAACUCUUCUGUUUAGUAUUGUCUGAGUACUAUAUAAUAGUUAAAACUUUCAACAACGGAUCUCUUGGUUCUGGCAUCGAUGAAGAACGCAGCGAAAUGCGAUAAGUAAUGUGAAUUGCAGAAUUCAGUGAAUCAUCGAAUCUUUGAACGCACAUUGCGCCCCUUGGUAUUCCGAGGGGCAUGCCUGUUCGAGCGUCAUUAUAACCACUCAAGCCUCGGCUUGGUAUUGGGGUCUCGCGGUCUCGCGGCCCUUAAAACCAGUGGCGGUGCCGUCUGGCUCUAAGCGUAGUAAUUCUCUCGCUACAGGGUCCAGGUGGUUGCUUGCCAAAACCCCCUAUUUUCUAUGGUUGACCUCGGAUCAGGUAGGGAUACCCGCUGAACUUAAGCAUA
rnacentral:rRNA from 1 species